CUAUGACAGCUAGCUCGUGCGGAUGAAACUUCCAGGCCCCACACAUUUGCCAGUAUCAGGAUCAACAAUCUCAUUAGGAAAAUGGAGAAUUUGGAUUCUGGAGAAACCAUAGUUUACCUGAAGCUUUGGCUCUAUCUUCAUGCCUGCAUCCAGUCAAGGACACAUCUUUGUGACUUUUUGCAUAAAAGUGGUUGGGAGAAACAAGGCUGUACCAGACCCUCGGGGGCAUUUCUUCUCAUCCUUCAUCUUUUAGCACUGUGAUUCUCUGAGGCUGCAGGGUACGUUACUCAGUCAUCUUUUCUGUCAGCCACUAUGGUAUCAGCUGGAACAACAAACAAGCCAAUAAAGAAGAAUGGAGAUGGAACCUGGAAUGCUAUGAAAGUGAUCAUCCAUUGACUACAUAUCUAGCCCUGUUUCCUAAAAAAUGAGCACACCCAAGCCCUCAGGCUCAUCCCUAGCGCUGCAGUCGAACACCAGCUGCAGUCGGACACCAGCUGCAGUCGGACACCAGCUGCAGUCGGACACCAGCUGCAGUCGGACACCAGCUGCAGUCGGACACCAGCUGCAGUCUUCUUUUUGCCCUCCCCAUGCCUCCUGCGGAUCCUACAGACCAUUCCCUCUUGGCAUCCCAUAAAUCAGCAUCUAGAUCUAUAAGUACCCUAAACCCAGAUGCCCAGACACCAGAGUAAAAACACAAUAGCAGCCAGGGCGGUGUGUCUCCAUUAGAGCCUGGCUGUCCUGACACAGCAGGCCCGAAUAUUCCAACAUGGCUGAAGCGCAAGAAAGAGACCUGAAAGCCACCUUCAUGAAGAUGGUAAAGGUCACUGCAGAGGGAAUGACCUGAAAGCCACCUUCAUGAAGAUGAUAAAGGUCACUGCAGAGGGAAUGAACAAAUUCCUUAGAGAUAUCCAGGAAAACACAAACAAACAAAUGCAAAAAGCAAUUAAAAAAUUCCCUCAAAGAAAGCCAAGAAAGAAAAAAAAAAACAAACAGUUGAAAGAAAUGAAUGAAACUGCUGAAGACCUGAAAUAGAAAUAGAAGCAAUAAAAAAGCCCCCACAAACUGAAGGAAUUCGGGAAAUAAAAAAUUUAAGAAUUCCAACAGGAACUAUAGAGGCAAGUUUCACUAACAGAAUACAAGACAUGGAAGAGAGAAUCUCAGGCAUUGAAGAUACAAUAGAAGAAAUGGAUGCACCAGU